rnacentral:rRNA from 1 species
GAUGAACGCUGGCGGCGUGCUUAACACAUGCAAGUCGAACGGUGAAGCAGGAGCUUGCUCCUGUGGAUCAGUGGCGAACGGGUGAGUAACACGUGAGCAAUCUGCCCUGGACUCUGGGAUAAGCGUUGGAAACGACGUCUAAUACCGGAUACGACGCGCGACGGCAUCGUCUGCGCGUGGAAAGAACUUCGGUUCGGGAUGAGCUCGCGGCCUAUCAGCUUGUUGGUGAGGUAAUGGCUCACCAAGGCGACGACGGGUAGCCGGCCUGAGAGGGUGACCGGCCACACUGGGACUGAGACACGGCCCAGACUCCUACGGGAGGCAGCAGUGGGGAAUAUUGCACAAUGGGCGCAAGCCUGAUGCAGCAACGCCGCGUGAGGGACGACGGCCUUCGGGUUGUAAACCUCUUUUAGUAGGGAAGAAGCGAAAGUGACGGUACCUGCAGAAAAAGCACCGGCUAACUACGUGCCAGCCGCCGCCGUAACAC